rnacentral:rRNA from 1 species
AGUGAACGCUGGCGGUAGGCCUAACACAUGCAAGUCGAACGGCAGCACAGUAAGAGCUUGCUCUUACGGGUGGCGAGUGGCGGACGGGUGAGGAAUACAUCGGAAUCUACUUUUUCGUGGGGGAUAACGUAGGGAAACUUACGCUAAUACCGCAUACGACCUACGGGUGAAAGCAGUGGAUCUUCGGACCUUGCGCGAUUGAAUGAGCCGAUGUCGGAUUAGCUAGUUGGCGGGGUAAAGGCCCACCAAGGCGACGAUCCGUAGCUGGUCUGAGAGGAUGAUCAGCGACACUGGAACUGAGACACGGUCCAGACUCCUACGGGAGGCAGCAGUGGGGAAUAUUGGACAAUGGGCGCAAGCCUGAUCCAGCCAUACCGCGUGGGUGAAGAAGGCCUUCGGGUUGUAAAGCCCUUUUGUUGGGAAAGAAAAGCAGCAGGUUAAUACCCCGCUGUUCUGACGGUACCCAAAGAAUAAGCACCGGCUAACUUCGUG